AUUGAACGCUGGCGGCAGGCCUAACACAUGCAAGUCGAGCGGAGCGGCGGACGGGUGAGUAAUGCCUAGGAAUCUGCCUGGUAGUGGGGGAUAACGUCCGGAAACGGGCGCUAAUACCGCAUACUAUCAGAUGAGCCUAGGUCGGAUGAGCUAGUUGGUGGGGUAAAGGACUACCAAGGCGACGCUCCGUAACUGGUCUGAGAGGAUGAUCAGUCACACUGGAACUGAGACACCGUCCAGACGCCUACGGGAGGCAGCAGUGGGGAAAAUUGCAAAAUUGGCUCAAGCCUGAUGCAGCCAUGCCGCGGGUAUGAAGAAGGCCUUCUGGGUGUAAAGUACUUUCAGCGGGGAGGCGUUACCCGCAGAAGAAGCACCGGCUAACUCCGUGCCAGCAGCCGCGGUAAUAC
rnacentral:rRNA from 1 species